AAAAGACCAACGGUAACGGUUAAACCGUUAAACGUCCGGUGUGUCCUCUAAAACACGGUGUUUCGUAGGUUUUUGUUUGUUUAGCACCUGGCUGAUAAGGACACAAGGCAUCAGCGCAACAAUCACUCACAAUAAGAAUGAAAAUGAUCUGCGCUCAUCUCUGGCAAAGUGAUGAAGAGGUGGAGGAUGAAGACGAAGGUUUUGGACCCUCACAGAUGCUGGAUGCCUUAAAGAGCUUUUCCCAGUGGUCCUGAUGAAUGCCCUUAUAGUGCUUGAGUUCCUCCUCAUCCUCUGCCGUCACCGUGGAAACAGUAACAACGCCAGCAGGAAAGGUGAGUAGAUUGUAAA